rnacentral:rRNA from 1 species
GGACGAACGCUGGCGGCGUGCCUAAUACAUGCAAGUCGAACGAACUCUGGUAUUGAUUGGUGCUUGCAUCAUGAUUUACAUUUGAGUGAGUGGCGAACUGGUGAGUAACACGUGGGAAACCUGCCCAGAAGCGGGGGAUAACACCUGGAAACAGAUGCUAAUACCGCAUAACAACUUGGACCGCAUGGUCCGAGUUUGAAAGAUGGCUUCGGCUAUCACUUUUGGAUGGUCCCGCGGCGUAUUAGCUAGAUGGUGGGGUAACGGCUCACCAUGGCAAUGAUACGUAGCCGACCUGAGAGGGUAAUCGGCCACAUUGGGACUGAGACACGGCCCAAACUCCUACGGGAGGCAGCAGUAGGGAAUCUUCCACAAUGGACGAAAGUCUGAUGGAGCAACGCCGCGUGAGUGAAGAAGGGUUUCGGCUCGUAAAACUCUGUUGUUAAAGAAGAACAUAUCUGAGAGUAACUGUUCAGGUAUUGACGGUAUUUAACCAGAAAGCCACGGCUAACUACGUGCCAGCAGCCGCGGUAAUACGUAGGUGGCAAGCGUUGUCCGGAUUUAUUGGGCGUAAAGCGAGCGCAGGCGGUUUUUUAAGUCUGAUGUGAAAGCCUUCGGCUCAACCGAAGAAGUGCAUCGGAAACUGGGAAACUUGAGUGCAGAAGAGGACAGUGGAACUCCAUGUGUAGCGGUGAAAUGCGUAGAUAUAUGGAAGAACACCAGUGGCGAAAGCGGCUGUCUGGUCUGUAACUGACGCUGAGGCUCGAAAGUAUGGGUAGCAAACAGGAUUAGAUACCCUGGUAGUCCAUACCGUAAACGAUGAAUGCUAAGUGUUGGAGGGUUUCCGCCCUUCAGUGCUGCAGCUAACGCAUUAAGCAUUCCGCCUGGGGAGUACGGCCGCAAGGCUGAAACUCAAAGGAAUUGACGGGGGCCCGCACAAGCGGUGGAGCAUGUGGUUUAAUUCGAAGCUACGCGAAGAACCUUACCAGGUCUUGACAUACUAUGCAAAUCUAAGAGAUUAGACGUUCCCUUCGGGGACAUGGAUACAGGUGGUGCAUGGUUGUCGUCAGCUCGUGUCGUGAGAUGUUGGGUUAAGUCCCGCAACGAGCGCAACCCUUAUUAUCAGUUGCCAGCAUUAAGUUGGGCACUCUGGUGAGACUGCCGGUGACAAACCGGAGGAAGGUGGGGAUGACGUCAAAUCAUCAUGCCCCUUAUGACCUGGGCUACACACGUGCUACAAUGGAUGGUACAACGAGUUGCGAACUCGCGAGAGUAAGCUAAUCUCUUAAAGCCAUUCUCAGUUCGGAUUGUAGGCUGCAACUCGCCUACAUGAAGUCGGAAUCGCUAGUAAUCGCGGAUCAGCAUGCCGCGGUGAAUACGUUCCCGGGCCUUGUACACACCGCCCGUCACACCAUGAGAGUUUGUAACACCCAAAGUCGGUGGGGUAACCUUUUAGGAACCAGCCGCCUAAGGUGGGACAGAUGAUUAGGG